rnacentral:lncRNA from 1 species
AAUUUGGUAAUAUUAUCGGCUUCUCUGUCAAGUCCAUCGACCAAUGAAAUUGAAGGAAAUAUAUUCAGUAGCUCUUAUGCGGUUUUAGACUUGGGUUCAAAAUAUGAGAUGGACGAUAAAUUCUCACAUAACCUGAAUAUGAACGUCAAUAAAACCUACUCAAAAAGUUUAAGCCGUAGUGGGAGGAUGACGGACAAAAGAGGAUGUGGAGGCCCA